GGCAAAAGCUCAAAUUUGAAAUCUGGCUCUUUCAGAGUCCGAGUUGUAAUUUGAAGAAGGUAUCUUUGGGCCUGGCUCUUGUCUAUGUUUCUUGGAACAGAACGUCACAGAGGGUGAGAAUCCCGUGCGAUGAGAUGACCCAGGUCCGUGUAAAGUUCCUUCGACGAGUCGAGUUGUUUGGGAAUGCAGCUCUAAGUGGGUGGUAAAUUCCAUCUAAAGCUAAAUAUUGGCGAGAGACCGAUAGCGAACAAGUACAGUGAUGGAAAGAUGAAAAGAACUUUGAAAAGAGAGUGAAAAAGUACGUGAAAUUGUUGAAAGGGAAGGGCUUGAGAUCAGACUUGGCAUUUUGCAUGUUGCUUCUUCGGGGGCGGCCUCUGCGGUUUGUCGGGCCAGCAUCAGUUUGGGCGGUAGGACAAUCGCGCGGGAAUGUGGCACGGCCUCGGCUGUGUGUUAUAGCCCGCGUGGAUACUGCCAGCCUAGACUGAGGACUGCGGUUUAUACCUAGGAUGUUGGCAUAAUGAUCUUAAGUCGCCCGUCUU
rnacentral:rRNA from 1 species